CAGUCGAGCGGCAGCGACAACAUUGACCCUUCGGGGGAUUUGUUGGGCGGCGAGCGGCGGACGGGUGAGUAAUGCCUGGGAACAUGCCUUAGUGUGGGGGAUAACCAUUGGAAACGAUGGCUAAUACCGCAUAAUCUCUACGGAGCAAAGAGGGGGACCUUCGGGCCUCUCGCGCUAAGAUUGGCCCAGGUGGGAUUAGCUAGUAGGUGGGGUAACGGCUCACCUAGGCGACGAUCCCUAGCUGGUCUGAGAGGAUGAUCAGCCACACUGGAACUGAGACACGGUCCAGACUCCUACGGGAGGCAGCAGUGGGGAAUAUUGCACAAUGGGGGAAACCCUGAUGCAGCCAUGCCGCGUGUGUGAAGAAGGCCUUCGGGUUGUAAAGCACUUUCAGCAGUGAGGAAGGCGGUAUCGUUAAUAGCGGUAUUGUUUGACGUUAGCUGCAGAAGAAGCACCGGCUAACUCCGUGCCAGC
rnacentral:rRNA from 1 species